rnacentral:lncRNA from 1 species
UUUUAUCCACCAUCCUCUCUUUCUUUGUAAAAAAACAUUUUCCUUACUACUAGUUUUAUUUUGUGAAUUUGUAAUACUAUCUACUGUCUCCUCUCUCCCUUUGUAAUUGGUAUCAAAGCGUCAGUGUAACGUUAUCUGGAGAAAUAAUAUCGUAGUAUUCAUUGUAAGUUCUUAUCCCUUAUUUUCAAUUUUGUUUAUUUCAUACUUGUUUAUCUUAAAACUUAUAUAUAUGUUAUUCUGUCUUACAAUAGCCUAUUUAUGUCUGGGUGAGACUAUUGACUUUUUAAAGUAAGAACAUAUAAAGAUAACAGAUGGUUUUAGAUACUUGAGAUAAAUUUCAUGAAAGAAACUGAUUGUCUAUAUAAGGAUAAAAUUUGCAAUCAUGCUAUGCAUAUUGAUUCUAAAAAUGAAAAUAAUAUUUCAGCUCUUAGUAAAGGUUUUAAUAGUUUAGUAGAUAUUACUUCUAUAUAUUUUCAUAAGUUAUAUAAUAAAGUAAGUAAAAUAGAAUAGUAAAUAAAUAAUUUAGGAGAAGUUACAGAAUUAGAUUUGAACAACGAACCUAAAGAAAUCUUAUCUGAAGUUAAUAAUAAAUUAGAACAAGUUCUUAUUAAUAAAAAUAUAGAACAAGAAAUAAAUUUAGGACCUUUAUAUUAUGGAAAUAAUAACAUAAUAUUAACCUUGUUAGAAUAAUAAGACACUUCCUCAGAAGAAUCGUCUUCUAAAAACAAAAGACAUAAAAAAACCUGAAAAACAGAAAAGAAAAUAUACUUAUCUACAAAAAUAUGAUUUCUAAUCCUAUAAACAACUUAUAGAACAUUGGAAGAAAAAUUUACUAAGACAUCUGAUAAAAAUGAAAGCAUAGAAUAUCUGAAACUAAUAGAACAACUUUAUAAAAAAUAUAAAAAUUUGUUUACAUUAUUUAAUUAUCAUUAUAUGUUAAACUAUGACACUACAGACAGUAGUAGUAGUUCUAAUAAUUCUCUAUGACACUACAGACAGUAGUAGCAGUUCUAAUAAUUCUGAUAAAAAUUCUGAUAAUUCUAUAAAUUUAGAAGACCUAAACGUUACAAGUUAUAAAUCUGAUGAAGAAAAUACUUCAACAGAUGAAGAAGAAAAUAUAGAAAUACCAGAACCAAUGGAUACUGAUCAAACAGAUUAUAAUCCUCAUUGGAAAAAGUAAAAUAGAGCUAGGUCGUCAAAAAGAUGAUUAUUUAAGAUCUUUUCAUAAAAACUAUGAACAAUUUGAAAAUACAACUAGAAUUUUUGGUAAUAAACCGAAAAUAUUGCUACUAAUGAAAUAAAAUCUAAAAAUUUAGGAGAAUCAUCUAUUCAACCAGUCCCACGUAGAAUAGGUGGUCUAAACAAAAGAAAUGUUGCCCAAGGAGGAAUAUUUUUAGAUCUAACUAAUAUUUCUAUAGCAGAUUAUGAAAAAACCAUAGAUGAAUUUUUAAACUACUUUGUUGGAAUAUUUCAAGUAGAUGUUUUACAAUUCCUGUAAUACCCCUACUCGUAUUCAUUGCCGGAAUAGGGUACGAGGCAUUACCGGAGUUUACGAAUUAUUUUUUUUAUAUUCAAUAUAGCCCCUUUAUAAAUAUUUAAUCUUCCCUGCAAUAUUAAAUCGAGACCAAUCCACAUCAACCAAAUCAAUUCAACAUAUUUUCAAGAUAAAUUCAUGCAUAUUUAUAAGAUAACGUCAUCACAUAUCUAAAACCGGGUUUGUUAACCAUACUAAUGGCUAACUUUACAUUCAUUUGACGUUAACAUUUACUUUGUUAGCUUAUACAUGCCAUUGAUUUCCAAAAUAAAGUUUCUUUAUAUACCGAAAUCCUGAGGUUGACAGUGUGAUGUGUCUCCGACCAAAUCCGACCUCCGAGCUCUUAACACUACAAAACAGGGAAAAAGGAAACGGGGUAAGUACUUUGUGCUUAGUAAGCUCAUGUAACAAGAAUUAUACUUACCUAAUAUUUUCAAUACAAUAUAAUAAACAUUCCUAUAUCCUAUCCAUUCAAUGCAUUAUUACCCUAAUAUGCACAAACUCAACAUUCAAGUUAGUAAAAUAAUUUCCAUGUGUCAAUAAUAUAUAUGAUGAUUGAUGAGCUCAUCAAUACCAUGAUUUCCAUUUCCUUGUUAUUUUUCCAUAUUUAUCCCGUUGAAUUUCUCAGAAUUUCGAUGGAUUUUCAGAGGUACACUUUUAGUGUACAAUUCCGGGUCCGUCAAUUCAUAUUCAUGUGCGCACAUUUCCAUUUCAAAGAGCACACUCCCGCGAACCUCAACCUUGCAGUGGGAUUACCGGUCCAGGCUAAAUCCCCUGCAAUAUAAACUCAUAGAGUAUUGUCGGGAUUACCAGUCCAGGCUAAAUCCCCUGCAACGACAAUUACUCUAAUGAGCUUGGAUCUGAAUUUCCAUUCCAGGCUAAAUUCAGACCCUAAUUCGGAUUACCCGUCCGGGCUAAAUCCAUUUUCCACGUAUUCUUCGGGAGGGCUAUAUCAGGAUAGGAUCACCCGUCCGGGCUAGAUCUUUUUUACCGUCAAUUCCUUUUCAGAGAUCCAUCAAAUUUUUCUUUCAUUCAACCGGGAUUUCUUCCCCUUUUUAUCAAAUAUAUCAAUGUUUCACCAAUUUUCAUACAAUGAAUAUUCAAAUUAUAUUCACAUAAAUAACAUACAAUCUCAAGCAUUUAAGAAUAUAAUUCAAGUUACAUGAACUUACCUUGAUACUUGUUCGUGUACAAAAAUCUACUAAUCCUGAACUUUUUCCUUUCCUCGAUCUAGCUUCGUAUUUGAAUCUUCUGGAUCUAAAUAAAUAAAUUUAAUUAUCAAUUUAAUACAUUUCAUGCUCCUAUGCAACAAUUUCUAUAAUUUCAUUAUUAUUAUUUAUAGUUUAUUCAAAGCUGUCUAUUUGAGUCAUAGUCACUAAAUUGUUUAUAACUUGAGCUACGGAACUCCAAAUUAAGAUCCGUUAAUUUUCCCUGAAACUGGACUCAGAUAUAUUUUUACCAUAAAAUUUUCAUAAUUUUUGGUUUAUCCAAUAAGUACAGUUUAUUCUUUAAAUUCACCCCUGUUCUGCUGUCUGAUAAUUCUGACCCUUCUUCACUAAAAAUUAAUUAUCUCUUCAUACAGAAUUUGAAUGAUGUUUUAAUUUGUUUCUCUUGAAAAUAGACUCAUCCAGGAUUCUAGACAUAUAAAUUUAAGCUCCUAAUUAUUUUUAUUCAAUUUUUUUAUGAUUUUUCAAAGUCAGAACAGGGGAACCCGAAUUCAUUCUGACAUUAUCUCACAAAAUUCAUUAUAUCUCAAAAUUUACAAAUCCAUUGUUUACACUAUUUCUUCUAUGAGAAACUAGACUCAAUAAGCUUUAAUUACAUAUUUUUUUCAUCUUCUAAUUCGAUUUUUACAAUUUAUGGUGAUUUUUCAAAGUUAGUCUACUGCUGCUGUCCAAACUGUUUUUGUGCAAGUUGUUUAUUACCAUUUUUCCCUUAACCUUUUAAUAAAUGAUAAUUUCGUCCCUACUCAAUUAGCCUCUCAAUUGAGCUGAUUUUUCUCAAUUAACAUUUUAUUCUAUCACCUUAAACUAGUUUACAACCUUUAGGAAUCAGAAUUUCAGCAAUAGACUUUAAUUCCAAGCAUUUUCAGAAUUAGGUCCUAAAAAAUCAAUUUCUAUUGAAAUUACCUAAUAAAAUCAUCUCAUAAACAAAUUAAAGCUUUAAUUUAAUUCUAUUUCAUCAUAAACUUACAGCACUCAACCAUGGUGACUUUCAAUUUCAUCCAUGAAAUAAAAAACUAAUGAAUUUAAUAGUAGGACCUAGUUGUAAAAGUCUUAGAAACACAAAAAUUACAAGAAAAAGGCAAGGAUUAACUCACUUGGUGCAAAAAUUAUGAAAUACCAGCUUAUAGAACCCUCCUAUGGCGUUUUUAGCUGCUGGAAUUGAAGAGAAAUGAAGAGAAAUCUAGAUAUUUCCUAUUUAGUCCUAGCUUUAUUUAGUUAAUUUUGCAAUAUUCCAAUUUUACCCUUAAUUUAUCAAUUUUUCUGCUGAUUUCAUACCCUUGUCGUCCAGCCUAAAUAACUUUUGGGUCUAAUUGCCUUUUAAAUCCUUUCUAAUAACUUUUAGACUCUUAAGCUAUUUAAUCACUGUGGCAACUUUUACACCUAUUACAAUUUAGUCCUUUUCAUUUAAUUGACUACCCAAACAUUAAAAUUUCCUAACGAAAUUUUAAUAACACAUUAAUAACAUUUCAUAAAUAUUUAUAAAAUUAUUUUUGACUCAGUUUUACGAGAUAUAGGUCUCGAUACCUUGUUUUUACCUAAUUUCUUCAAUAAUUUCUUUUUCUAUCUAAUCACUAAAUUGGUAAAAUUUUUCUAUCAAUAUUUUCAUACGAUUUUCCUAUCAUAUCAAUUUUCAAGCAAAAAUAUUGAAAUAAAUUUCUCUUUAAAUCGGAUCUAUGGUUACGAAACCAUUAUUCCGAUAACCUUGAAUUUAGGCCAUUACAAUUCCUAAGAAGAUGGGAAGAAUCAAAAAAAAAGGAAAAGAACAAAUUUAAAUUUAAUAUUCCAUGUAUUCCAUUUAUUAUAAUAUUAAUUAUUUGAGAAAUUAAUUUUAUUAUAAUUUAAGUUUAUAUGCUACAUACAUCAUAAUAUUAAUGAAUUUAAACAUCAUAUAUAAAAUAUCUAAAAUCUCAAAAGCACUUUUUUGACAAUAAUGUUAAAUAUUUCAAUUUUUUUAUGUACUUACCUUUAUAUGAGUGUAGCAUCACGAUUUUUAGUAUUUGAUUUUUUGAUACAAUACCUAGAACUACCAAUAGCCCAUUCUCAACCCUUAAAUAAAAGGAUAAUUCACUUUAACGCACUCAAACUUACGUCCUCUUGCACUUGGAACAAUGAGGAUGCCAACUGAGCUAAGACUCAAUCAAUUAAAUAUUUCAAAUAAAAUAUUUAUCUACAAGAUAAAUUUUAAAUUCAAUCACUUUAAUAUUAAUUUAAUAUAAUACUUAUUAAACUUAAUAGAAUAUUUAUCUACAAGAUAAAAAUUAAAUUAAAUUUAAUAAUAAGAUAAUCAUUUUAAUAUUAAAUUUAUUAAAAUAACAUUAUUUUUAGAAUAGUUAAUCUGAAAUCAAAUUAUCCUAUGAAGUCCAGGUAGGAGUGCGAUUCUUCCGUUACUCAACCACCGAAGAACCACUAUUACCGACCAUCCAUCAACCACUGAAAUGCCACUGUCCCAACCCUCACGACACCCUCACGGCACCCCAACCGAUCCUGUCCAGCCAUCAGUUGGACCGUUGACCUGGUUUCACAUACCAGGUUUAGUUUGACCAAUUUUAGGUCUCAAUCUCGGUUUUUGAUUCUCAGUUCUAAUUUUCUAUCUUAACUCCAAUUUUCAAGUUCAAUUACCCAUUGGACCAAUUGUUUGACUUAAAAAUUAAUUUCCAAAAAUGUCAUAUUUAUUUUUAAUUAAUUUGAUUAAUUUAGCUUUACUUGAUCAAAAUUAGUUUUUCCAAAAAUCACUGAGAUUUUCCAAAAUUAAUUUUUAAGAAAAAUUUUUAAUCAAAUUCUCUAGUUGAAAAUUUCUCACAAUCGCCCAAUUCAAUUUCACAUAGAAUAAAUUAACUCAAUUAAAUUAUUUCCAAAGUCGAAGAAAUUUCUUCUGAUUCAAAUGCAGUCCGAUCGAGUUUUUGUUGAGCUAGCAGAGGGACCAAUCAGACAUAUACAAUUAGGCUUGAGUAAUUACAAUUAUGUUCAGAAGCAUUAUUCUGAUAAUUUGCAAUUUACUUAAUCAUGGAGUUUGUCCACAAGAAGUAUCAUGAUUGAAAACUCUUCAUUGUAUACUCUUUACGAAAGCAAUUCAUCUAUCUACUUUGUCUAAUAACCUCGUUAUAUGUGUGUUACCCUCACAUGAUAUCCUUGAUUUCUUUGAGUUAAAUUUGUUCACUCAAUACAAUCAUAUUUUAUCUCGUUGUCACAAUUAUGUCUUCUUAAUAAUUAAUAUAAUUGCCGUCAACAAAUGACUAUGAUAAAUUUCUCAUUCAAGAACUAGCAACUCGUGGUCACAUUCUAUAUUUAUCAAUUCACACAAUGCCAAUGAGAGGAUAUCGUUAACUCUUUAAUUGAGCUAUGAAUUCCAUUGUUACUAGUAAAGUCAUGUCAUACAAUAGUCAUGUAUCCAACAUCAUGUCAUACAAUAGUCAUGUAUCCAACAUACCUGCUAUAAGCUCGAUCAUCUUUAAAGCAUAAACCUUUACUUAUAUUAAAAUACACGAGUUACAUAAGCAUGGUUAAUAACUAACUCAAGGUUUAGUUAAAUCACACUAUGAACGUCACAAGUGAAUUAAUACACAAACGAAUUCAAAAUUAAUUCAACUUGGGUUGAUGGAAAGUCUUUCAUGAAUGUAUAUGCUCCGCUCCUUGCCAUCAAUUCAAUGCACCAUGUGCAUUUAAUUUAAAUAUUAAUGCAAUGUACUUGUAGAUUACCAUUCGACCAUACAUGUAUAUUCCUUAACUUGGCAGAAUAUGCUUUUAUUCUUGAAGGUAGAUAUGUAGCCUUUCAUAUAUACUAGUCAUACAUUGAGCCCAAUGAAGGUGAAGAGUUGGUGGUGCAUGGUUUCACAUGGUGUAAUGUAUCAAUUGAAGUCGAAUGAUCUUUGCUGCAUGUUCCUUGUGUGGUUGACCAUGGAGAUGUACCUAAGACAUAUUAAAAUACUUUAAAAAAAACAUAAAACAUUAAGACAUUAGAACGUUAAGACUUAAAACAAAUAAGACAUAAAAGCAUUAAACAUAAACAAAACAUAAAGACAUUAAAACACUCAUGAAUGCAUUAAUUAAAGGGACUGAAUCUUGAAAACUAAGUGGUCGAAUGUUAGGAUCUGAAUGGCCACUUCUAGAAUGUUGCAUUUUCCUUUGUCUUGUUGGAUUGGAAUUUUGGACUUGAGCUUCUCAUGUUCGACCCAAUCUUCUUGGGGCGUCCCAUGGAUAGCUUUUUUAGGUCGUUUAGCCCUAGCACUUGUGAAUGGCCCAUUCGACGUUUGUAAAGGUUCUUUGGAGCCUGGGAGUGACCUGCCUAAUAUUACCCCAAUCAUAGGUGCACUUGGAGUUGACCCAAUUGAAAUUAGCCAACUUGUAGAUGACUUCAUUGACACUUGAAUUGGAUCCUUAGCCCUUGAAAAUGACUCGAUGACCAAUGACUUCAUCAAAAUCAAUUGCAUACGUAAAAUUGACCCAUAAAAGCUUGGAAUUCUUGGAAUGUAGAACUAAUGUCAAUAAUUGCAAUAUAGAACGAUCGUAAAGCAAAAAGAAAGAAAAUAAGAACACAUAGAUUUUACGUGAAAAACCCUUUUGGGAAAAAAUUACGGGUAGAGGAGAAAAAAAUUCAUUAAUGUCAAUUUCGAAUGAUAUAAAGGCGUUUAGACUACAUUUAUUAUAGGUUAAAAAAAUCUUAUUCUAAUCAAUGACAAAUAAAUUAAGUGUAGUAAGGUUGAAAAACCUUAUUCUAAUCAAUGUAAAAUAAAAGAAGUAUAAUUCUAUAUAGAUUUUACUUUUAUUUUAUUUUACCAUUGUAUUUUAUUUAACAAGGAUUCAAGUCACUCAACUCUAACAAUUUCCACCUUGGCACGAAUUCUCAAUGUACAAGUUCUUCACCAUGAACUCUCAAUGAACAAGUUCUCCACAUUUCCAUGAAAUCUCUUGAGGGGUUUUUUCAAUAACAAACUGUAAUAGUCCGGUUUUGACCCUAGUCGGAAUAGUGGUUUCGGGACCACAUAUUCGAGUCAGAAAAAUAUUUAAAUAUUAUUUUUCAUGUUUAUGAUAUGUGAAUGAGCAUGUUUGAAAAUAUCGUAUGAAAAUUCGAAUGUUUGUGUGUUUAAUUUUGAAAAAGGACCUAAUCGCGUAAAAUGUGAAAGUUGCUUGCUACUUGUUAAAAGUGCUUAAUUGAUUUGGCUUUAUGAUUGUGAGGUCAUUAUGAGGUUAUUUGACAAUUGAAGGAAUUAAAUAACAAAAAAGGGCAUGUGUUUGGUGAAUGAAUAAUUUUAUAACAAAGGGUAAAUUUGGAAAUUAGUUAAUGAUAUGUUUUAUAAUAAAACAAAAGCAUAAAUUAAGUCAUUUUCUUUCAUCUUUGCCGAAAUUGAAGAGAAAAGUCUAGGGUUUAUGUGUUUGAAGCAUUCGGCCAACAUCUAGCUUGACUAAAGGUCUGUUUUUGUUCGGUUUUUGAUAAUUUUUACGUUUUUGUAAUCGUUGCUUCGUAUAUUAUCAAACCCAUGCCUUAAUUUAUGAUUUUGUUAAUGAUUUUGAAAUGUUCCAUGGAUAAAUUCAUGAGCUUUUUGAUGUUAUAUGUUGAAAUAUGAAAGUUUGAUGUUGGAUUUGCAUGUUUUGUCUCUGGAUUUUUGAUGAAUUUGAGCAAUUUGGGCUAAAUUGUGAAAAUGUUAUUUUGAGGGACUAAUGUGAAAUAAAUGAAAUGUAUGGACUUGUAUGAGAUCUAUGAAAAUUCGGCCAAGCUUGUGUACAAACAAAUUAUAUGUAUUUUGUGAUUUUGUGAAUUAAGAACUAAAGUGUCAAAAUGUGAAAAUGUGAGGACUUGUUUGCAAAAUGCCCUAAAUGUGUGUUUGUGGAUUGUUUUGAAUGAAUUUGUGAUUGAAAUGGUUAAUUUUGAAUUGAAUUAUAUUGAGAAUUAAAGAAUACGGAUUUAGAUAGGGGGAAGUCGGAAGUCGUUGAAUAGUCGACUCCGUGUUCAAAUCCGUACGAGGUAAGUCGAUAUACAAAUAAGCUUGUUUGAAUUGAAUUAUUAUUGUUCAUUUGAUAUUGAAUUGUGAUGAAUGAAUGUCCGAGCUAAUUAAAUGCUAUCCGAGAAAGUACCGACAAAGUUACGACAUCCGAAACGCCCCAUACAAACCUUAGGAAUUGUUAGGAUACAUAUGUCAUGACAUAGGAUUUUCGAUAUCUGUUUUGCAUGUAAGACCACAUCUGGGACAUUGGCAUCGACUUUUGUUUUACGUGUAAAGCCAUGUCUGGGACAUUGACAUCGUAUCUAAUUUCGUGUAAGAUCCUGUUUGGGACAGUGGCAUCAAUGUUUGAUUACAUGUAAGACCACGUCUGGGACAUUGGCAUUGUAUAUGUUCUCUGAGCUAUCCGCGUAUCCUUACGUUUCCGAAUGGUUCAAACGGGCAUUCCAAAAAAAUGAAUAAUUUGGUGAAAUCAUAUCAGAUUCAGGUAUGUUUACUUUGUAUAGCCUAUUUGAGAAUGAAAGGUAAGUAUUUGAAUAUGAGAUUUGUGUAAGCAUUGGUAUACAAAGUAUAAAUGAUUUGAUGAUACUUAUUUUCUUUGAAUGAUAUGUUUAUUUGUAUAUGGCUUACUAAGCUUUUGAAAGCUUACUUUGUGUGUGUUUGUAUUGUUUUAUAGAUAUCGAAGCUACUAUGGGCUCGGGGAUCAUCGAGGAUCGUCAACACACUAUCGAACCUUACUUUGGUACUUUGAACAUGUAUAUAUUAAAGUAUGGCAUGUAUAGGCUAGAAGUUGUGGAAUUAUGUUUUGUGAUGUACAUAUUUAGUCAAGUGAUAUGGCUAGUUUGUGUUUGAACUUAUAGUUUGAUAAUGGUAUGUGAUAUGUGAUGCUAAUGUGAAACUGUGGUAUGUUUUGGUUGGCCAAAAGAAAUGGUCAAUGUUGAGAAGUUUUGGUAAGU